AGGUAUAGAGACAAAAACAACA
rnacentral:snRNA from 1 species